AACGAACGCUGGCGGCAUGCCUAACACAUGCAAGUCGAACGAGACCUUCGGGUCUUGUGGCGCACGGGUGCGUAACGCGUGGGAACCUGCCCUUAGGUUCGGAAUACCUCCCCGACAGGGGUGCUAAUACCGGAUAAUGUCUUCGGACCAAAGAUUUAUCGCCUUUGGAUGGGCCCGCGUUGGAUUAGCUAGUUGGUAGGGUAAAAGCCUACCAAGGCGACGAUCCAUAGCUGGUCUGAGAGGAUGAUCAGCCACACUGGGACUGAGACACGGCCCAGACUCCUACGGGAGGCAGCAGUGGGGAAUAUUGGACAAUGGGCGAAAGCCGGAUCCAGCAAUGCCGCGUGAGUGAGGAAGGCCUUAGGGUUGUAAAGCUCUUUUACCCGGGAUGAUAAUGACAGUACCGGGAGAAUAAGCUCCGGCUAACUCCGU
rnacentral:rRNA from 1 species